rnacentral:misc_RNA from 1 species
GAAAUGCGAUAAGUAAUGUGAAUUGCAGAAUUCAGUGAAUCAUCGAAUCUUUGAACGCACAUUGCGCCCGCCAGUAUUCCGGCGGGCAUGCCUGUCCGAGCGUCAUUUCAACCAUCAAGCCCCCGGGCUUGUGUUGGGGACCUGCGGCUGCCCGCAGGCCCUGAAAACCAGUGGCGGGCUCGCUGUCACACCGAGCGUAGUAGCAAUCACCUCGCUCAGGGCGUGCUGCGGGUUCCGGCCGUUAAACAGCCUUACAAAACCCAAGGUUGACCUCGGAUCAGGUAGGAAGACCCGCUGAACUUAAGC